rnacentral:lncRNA from 1 species
GAAUGAGUGUAGUAUUGAUGAAAUCAUAUGAAAGGAGAAGGAAGUCAAGAAGUUGACUUUCUUGGAGUAAGUUUACAGCAAGACCAUAGUUUUGGAGAUAUCGUAUAGUAGAAAAACGAGGAGGAUGAAUAUCACGUUUUUUCAAAUUUAGUAAGAAAGCGAUUUAAUUUAUUUUCGCUUUUGAAGACCAAAACAUCACCAUCUUGAUAUGGAUGAUAUCCGGAGGGAGGAAGAGCAGAGGUGGAAGCACCUUCCCUAUUUUAACGGGUUCUUCUCGACAUAUUGAUAGA